GACGAACGCUGGCGGCGUGCUUAACACAUGCAAGUCGAACGGAAAGGCCCUGCUUUUGUGGGGUGCUCGAGUGGCGAACGGGUGAGUAACACGUGAGUAACCUGCCCUUGACUUUGGGAUAACUUCAGGAAACUGGGGCUAAUACCGGAUAGGAGCUCCUGCUGCACGGGGGGGGUUGGAAAGUUUCGGCGGUUGGGGCUGGACUCGCGGGUUAUCAGCUUGUUGGUGGGGUAGGGGCUUACCAAGGUUUUGACGGGUAGCCGGCCUGAGAGGGUGACCGGGCACAAUGGGACUGAGAUACGGACCAGACUGCUACGGGCGGCAGCAGUGGGGAAUAUUGCACAAUGGGCGGAAGCCUGAUGCAGCAACGCCGCGUGCGGGAUGACGGCCUUCGGGUUGUAAACCGCUUUCGCCUGUGACGAAGCGUGAGUGACGGUAAUGGGUAAAGAAGCACCGGCUAACUACGUG
rnacentral:rRNA from 1 species